CCGCUACCGCCCGGCUGGUGCCGCGCCGCCGCUGCCGGACGCAUCCACACCCUAGCUACACGCACGCACACAGUUACAGUCUAACUCCAUCACUGCACAAGCUAGAGAGUUGUCACGGCUUGUAUGCACAAAUAGUGUCGUCACAGCAGAUGGCGCCACCGCUCCCGGGAGCACAUGGUCCAGGGUUACCAGCAGGUGGCGCCAAUGCUCCCGGGAGCACAUGGUCCGGGGUUACCAACAGGUUGAGCCACGGCUCCCGCACAUGUUCCAGGGUUACCAGCAGGUGGCGCCACGCUCCCGCACAUGUUCCAGGGUUACCAGCAGGUGGCGCCACUGCUCCCGCACAUGUUCCAGGGUUACCCAACAGUUGAGCCACGCUCCCGCACAUGUUCCAGGGUUACCAGCAGGUGGCGCCACUGCUCCCGCACAUGUUCCAGGUUUAUCACACUCGUAUGGGGUCGGCAUAAUAAUAAUGGUCAGCACAUAUUUCCAUGACUCAGAGUAUGAUUGUGAUGUCAUGCACGAACUCGGCUAUCUGCGAAGGUGAAUGGAUACAGCCCAGAAACAAUAGAACACUAAUAGUUCUGUAUAGGAAUGUUCUGAAUAUAAUAAAUUCUGACAGUAAUCUGUUCUAGCGUCUCUGCAUUCACCUUCUGAGAUAGAUGAGUUCGUGAGUGACGUCACGAUCAUACUCUGAGCCAUGGAAACAUAUGCUGACCUAAUAAGAGGGGUAAUGCUAUCCCCCGGGCGUGGAGGGAGGUGACCGCAACGUGGCAGCACUAGUGUUAGGAUUAGGGUUAGG